UUGACGGAGAGUUUGAUCCUGGCUCAGGACGAACGCUGGCGGCGUGCUUAACACAUGCAAGUCGAACGAUGAAGUGGAGCUUGCUCCACCGAUUAGUGGCGAACGGGUGAGGAACACGUGAGAAACCUGCCUCGGAUUUUGGGAUAACAGAUGGAAACAUUUGCUAAUACCAAAUAACGUCGGAGAGCCUCAUGGCUUUCUGACGAAAGGAAUUCCGAUUCGAGAGGGUCUCGCGGCCUAUCAGCUUGUUGGCGGGGUAACGGCCCACCAAGGCGACGACGGGUAGCUGGUCUGAGAGGAUGGUCAGCCACAUUGGGACUGAGACACGGCCCAGACUCCUACGGGAGGCAGCAGUGGGGAAUCUUGCGCAAUGGGCGAAAGCCUGACGCAGCAACGCCGCGUGCGGGAAGAAGGCCUUCGGGCUGUAAACCGCUUUCAGCAGGAACGAAAAUGACGGUACCUGCAGAAGAAGGAGCGGCCAACUAUGUGCCAGCAGCCGCGGUGAUACAUAGGCUUCAAGCGUUGUCCGGAUUUAUUGGGCGU
rnacentral:rRNA from 1 species